UGCAUGUCUCAGUACUUGCUAUAACAAGGCGAAACCGCGAAUGGCUCAUUAAAUCAGUUAUGGUUCACUAGAUCGUACAGUUUACACGGAUAACUAUGGUAAUUCUAGAGCUAAUACGUGCAACCAGCUCGCUUCCUUGUGGAGUGAGCGCAGUUAUUAGAACAAGACCAAUCCGGCCUUCGGGUCGGUACAAUUGGUGACUCUGAAUAACCGAAGCGGAGCGCAUGGUCUCGUACCGGCGCCAGAUCUUUCAAGUGUCUGACUUAUCAGCUUGUUGUUAGGUUAUGUUCCUAACAAGGCUUUUACGGGUAACGGGGUAUCAGGGUCCGAUACCGGAGAGGGAGCCUGAGAAACGGCUACCACAUCUAAGGAAGGCAGCAGGCGCGCAAAUUACCCACUCCCGGCACGGGGAGGUAGUGACGAAAAAUAACGAUGCGAGAGCUAUAAAGUUUCUCGUAAUCGGAAUGGGUACACUUUAAAUCCUUUAACGAGGAUCUAUUGGAGGGCAAGUCUGGUGCCAGCAGCCGCGGUAAUUCCAGCUCCAAUAGCGUAUAUUAAAGUUGCUGCGGUUAAAAAGCUCGUAGUUGGAUCUGGGUAGCUGGACGGAUGGUAUGCUUAACUGUGUUACUAUCUGUUCGGCACCACAAGCCGGUCAUGUCUUGCAUGCUCUUCACUGGGUGUGCUUGGCGCCCGGAACGUUUACUUUGAAAAAAUUAGAGUGCUCAAAGCAGGCGUACGGCCUUGCAUAAUGGUGCAUGGAAUAAUGGAAUAGGACCUCGGUUCUAUUUUGUUGGUUUUCGGAACUCGAGGUAAUGAUUAAUAGGAACAGACGGGGGCAUUCGUAUUGCGGCGUUAGAGGUGAAAUUCUUGGAUCGUCGCAAGACGAACUA
rnacentral:rRNA from 1 species